rnacentral:rRNA from 1 species
UGGGGAAUUUUGCACAAUGGGGGAAACCCUGAUGCAGCGACGCCGCGUGAUUUAGAAGGCCUUCGGGUUGUAAAAAUCUUUUGUAUGGGAAGAAAAUGACAGUACCAUACGAAUAAGGUCCGGCUAAAUACGUGCCAGCAGCCGCGGUAAUACGUAUGGACCGAGCGUUGUCCGGAAUCAUUGGGCGUAAAGGGUACGUAGGCGGCCCAGUAAGUUAGAAGUGAAAUAAUAUAGCUCAACUAUAUAAAGCUUUUAAAACUGCUAGGCUUGAGAGAUGGAAGGGAAAGUGGAAUUCCUAGUGUAGCGGUGAAAUGCGCAGAUAUUAGGAAGAAUACCGGUGGCGAAGGCGACUUUCUGGUCAUCAUCUGACGCUGAGGUACGAAAGCGUGGGUAGCAAACAGG